rnacentral:rRNA from 1 species
GACGAACGCUGGCGGCAUGCCUAAUACAUGCAAGUCGAGCGAACAGAUGAAGUGCUUGCACUUCUGACGUUAGCGGCGAACGGGUGAGUAACACGUAAGGAAUCUACCUAUAAGCGGGGGAUAACAUUCGGAAACGGGUGCUAAUACCGCAUAAUAUCUUCUUCCGCAUGGAAGAAGAUUGAAAGACGGCUCUGCUGUCACCUAUAGAUGACCUUGCGGUGCAUUAGUUAGUUGGUGGGGUAACGGCCUACCAAGACGAUGAUGCAUAGCCGACCUGAGAGGGUGAACGGCAACAUUGGGACUGAGACACGGCCCAAACUCAUACGGGAGGCAGCAGUAGGGCAUCUUCCACAAUGGGCGAAAGCCUGACGGAGCAAUGCCGCGUGAGUGAAGAAGGCCUUCGGGUCGUAAAACUCUGUUAUAAGAGAAGAACAAAUUGUAGAGUAACUGCUACAGUCUUGACGGAAUCUUAUCAGAAAGCCACGGCUAACUACGUGCCAGCAGCCGCAGUAA